GUGGGGAAUAUUGGACAAUGGGCGAAAGCCUGAUCCAGCCAUGCCGCGUGUGUGAAGAAGGUCUUCGGAUUGUAAAGCACUUUAAGUUGGGAGGAAGGGCAGUAAGUUAAUACCUUGCUGUUUUGACGUUACCGACAGAAUAAGCACCGGCUAACUUCGUGCCAGCAGCCGCGGUAAUACGAAGGGUGCAAGCGUUAAUCGGAAUUACUGGGCGUAAAGCGCGCGUAGGUGGUUUUGUAAGUUGGAGGUGAAAUCCACGGGCUCAACCUGGGAACUGCCUCCAAAACUGCAUGACUAGAGUACGGUAGAGGGUAGUGGAAUGUCCUGUGUAGCGGUGAAAUGCGUAGAUAUAGGAAGGAACACCAGUGGCGAAGGCGACUACCUGGACUGAUACUGACACUGAGGUGCGAAAGCGUGGGGAGCAAACAGGAUUAGAAACCCCAGUAGUCC
rnacentral:rRNA from 1 species